AUGCAUACUAUUGAGGAGUUUGUUAGGAGAGUUAGUUGGAAGAUGGUUAGAAGUUUGUUGAAAUCUGUUAUGAGAGUGAAAUGGGUUAGAGAAAUCAGUUGUUGUUGGUUAUUUUUUGUUAGGGUUGAAGAUAAUUUUGGACUGGAGAAUCAGUUUCAACGAACUAGAUUCAACUAUAAACUGGGCAAUGUGAAUCUAGGCAGCAGCAAGUUUGCUUCCAUCUUGAUGCAAGAUUUGAACCUUGGUUGA